GUUAUUCGGAAUUAUUGGGCCUAGAGGGUUCGUAGGGGGUAAUGUAAGUCCGGUGCGAAAUCUCGAGGCUCAACCUCGAAACUGCAUUGGAAACUGCAUUACUUGAGUGUCAGAGAGGAAAGCGGAAUUCCUGGUGUACCGGUGGAAUGCGUAGAUAUCAGGAAGAACACCGACGGCGAAGGCAGCUUUCUGGCUGGCAACUGACCCUGAUGAGCGAAAGCUAGGGUAGCGAACAGGAUUAGAUACCCUGGCAGUCCUAGCUGUAAACGUUGUGCACUGGAUGUGGGCGGAUUUGGUCCCGUCUGUGUCUGAGCGAAGGCGUUAAGUGCACCGCCUGGGGACUACGGCCGCAAGGCUAAAACUCAAAGGAAUUGACGGGGGCCCGCACAAGCGGUGGAGCAUGUGGCUCAAUUCGAGGCAACGCGAAGAACCUUACCUGGGUUUGACAUAUACCUGACCGCCGGUGAGAGCCGGUUUCUCUUUGAGCAGGUAUACAGGUGCUGCAUGGCUGUCGACAGCUCGUGCUGUGAAGUGUUCGGUUAAGUCCGGCAACGAGCGCAACCCACGCUGUUAGUUACCAUCAGGUAAUGCUGGGGACUCUAACAGGACUGCCCGUGCUAAGCGGGAGGAAGGCGUGGACGACGUCAAGUCCGCAUGGCCCUUACGCCCAGGGCUGCACACGUGCUACAAUGGCCGGUACAGAGGGUCGCCACUCUGCGAAGAGGAGCUAAUCCCGAAAACCGGCCCCAGUUCGGAUUGGAGUCUGCAACCCGACUCCAUGAAGUAGGAAUCGCUAGUAAAGGCGUAUCAGCAACGGCGCCUUGAAUCUGUUCCCGGGCAUUGUACACACCGCCCGUCACAUCAUGGAAGCCGGCUGCACCCGAAGUCGCUAUCCGUUUUACGGAGGCGCCGAAGGUGUGGCUGGUAACUGGGAUGAAGU
rnacentral:rRNA from 1 species